GGGGAGGUACGGAUUAUUGGGCGUAAGAGCUCGUAGGCGGUUUGUCGCGUCUGCCGUGAAAGUCCGGGGCUCAACUCCGGAUCUGCGGUGGGUACGGGCAGACUAGAGUGAUGUAGGGGAGACUGGAAUUCCUGGUGUAGCGGUGAAAUGCGCAGAUAUCAGGAGGAACACCGAUGGCGAAGGCAGGUCUCUGGGCAUUAACUGACGCUGAGGAGCGAAAGCAUGGGGAGCGAACAGGAUUAGAUACCCUGGUAGUCCUAGCCGUAAACGUUGGGUGCUAGGUGUGGGGAGACAUCGACCCUCUCUGUGCCGUAGCUAACGCAUUAAGUGCCCCGCCUGGGGAGUACGGCCGCAAGGCUAAAACUCAAAGGAAUUGACGGGGGCCCGCACAAGCGGCGGAGCAUGCGGAUUAAUUCGAUGCAACGCGAAGAACCUUACCAAGGCUUGACAUGAACCGGUAAGACCUGGAAACAGGUCCCCCACUUGUGGCCGGUUUACAGGUGGUGCAUGGUUGUCGUCAGCUCGUGUCGUGAGAUGUUGGGUCAAGUCCCGCAACGAGCGCAACCCUCGUUCCAUGUUGCCAGCGCGUUAUGGCGGGGACUCAUGGGAGACUGCCGGGGUCAACUCGGAGGAAGGUGGGGACGACGUCAAAUCAUCAUGCCCCUUAUGUCUUGGGCUUCACGCAUGCUACAAUGGCCGGUACAAAGGGUUGCGAUACUGUGAGGUGGAGCUAAUCCCAAAAAGCCGGUCUCAGUUCGGAUUGGGGUCUGCAACUCGACCCCAUGAAGUCGGAGUCGCUAGUAAUCGCAGAUCAGCAACGCUGCGGUGAAUACGUUCCCGGGCCUUGUACACACCGCCCGUCAAGUCACGAAAGUUGGUAACACCCGAAGCCGGUGGCCUAACCCCUUGUGGGAGGGAGCUGUCGAAAGUGGGACUGGCGAUUGGGACUAAGUCGUAACAAGGUAAC
rnacentral:rRNA from 1 species